CCUCUUCGUUGUUUCUUCUUCUUUCAAUGAUUUCUUUCUUCUGCAAUUAUUCUUACUAACUCUCUUCUUCUCAUGCUUGAUUCUCUUGCACAUGACUGAUCAAAGAUGAGAUUUCAACAGUUCAUACUCCGAGCAACCUCUUAUGAGGCCUGGAUCUGUUGCUUCUCAAGAUAAGUCUCAGGCUAGCACUAUUGUACAUGCUCAAGGUAACUAAAGAUUAUGCAGAGAGAUUUGAGGGCGGGAUUGAUAUAGUUAAUAUUGUGUUUAUCGUUACCAAAAAUUCCUUUGGAAUAUUCUUCAGAUUGAUUGUCGAGCCUAAUAAUUUUGGGCUGAUGGACAAUUUAAAAUUACUUUGGACGCUAAUAUGGCCUUCUUUGUAUGUAAGUUGCCUAAUAAAGGAUGAAACCGGGUUACUCUAAAAAAGACGUGGAUCCUUAGUGUAAUGGGUCGGAUUUUUUUUUUUUUUAAGAUUUCGGACAAAUUUGUCCUGAUCAAUUUAUCGAAUCAGGCUCCUUUUUAAUGAAUUCAGUGGCAAUUGCUAUAAA